rnacentral:rRNA from 1 species
AACGAACGCUGGCGGCGCGCCUAAUACAUGCAAGUCGAGCGAGAAGACGUAGCAAUACGUUUGUAAAGCGGCGAACGGGUGAGGAAUACAUGGGUAACCUACCCUCGAGUGGGGAAUAACUAGCCGAAGGUUAGCUAAUACCGCGUACGCUCCUUGGACUUCGGUUCAGGGAGGAAAGCGAUACCGUGGGUAUCGCGCUCUUGGAUGGGCUCAUGUCCUAUCAGCUUGUUGGUGAGGUAACGGCUCACCAAGGCUUCGACGGGUAGCUGGUCUGAGAGGACGAUCAGCCACACUGGCACUGCGACACGGGCCAGACUCCUACGGGAGGCAGCAGUAAGGAAUAUUGCGCAAUGGGCGAAAGCCUGACGCAGCGACGCCGCGUGGGGGAUG